ACGGUUAUAAAUCAACAUAUUGAUUUAUAAGCAUGGAAAUCCUCUGAGUGAAACAACGAAUUGCUGUGUGUAGUCUUUGCCCAUCUCCCACGAUGGGCUUUUUUUUAA
rnacentral:other from 2 species